UGUGGCUGUUUUUUGUUCAAACUUUAAAACUCUAAACUUGUAUGCAGUUGGAGGUUGAGGACCUCAGCCGUUAAGAGGCCAGUGUUGAUCAGUGGCUGUCCAGGCCUUUCAGAGACACUGGCACGCAGGCAGCACAAUGAUGAUGUCACUGACUCUACUGCUGACCACCCUGGGGCUCCUUGUUCAGGGUUCAUCAGGACAAAUCAUCCUGACUCAGUCUCCUGGAUCUCAGUCUGUUGUUCCACGACAGACUGUCUCUAUCAGAUGUAAAACCAGUACAGAUGUUAGUAUCUAUCUCAGCUGGUACCUUCAGAAAUCUGGAGAAGCUCCUAAACUCCUGAUUUAUGAGGCUACAACCCGUCAGUCUGGAGUUUCAGAUCGUUUUACUGGAAGUGGUUCUGGGACUGACUUCACUCUGACCAUCAGAGGAGUCGAGGCUGAAGAUUCAGGAGUUUACUACUGUCAGCAGGGUUACACACCAAUCACACAGUGAUACAACGUCGUA